GUGAGUAGUUCAGAGUUUGUCCUGCUCAGGAUGAACGCUAGCUACAGGCUUAACACAUGCAAGUCGAGGGGCAGCGCAGUGUAGCAAUACAUGGGCGGCGACCGGCGCACGGGUGCGUAACGCGUAUCCAACCUUCCCGUUACUCUCGGAUAGCCUUCCGAAAGGGAGAUUAAUACGAGAUGGUGUUGAAAUUCCGCAUGUUAUUUCAACUAAAGAUUCAUCGGUAACGGAUGGGGAUGCGUGACAUUAGGUAGAUGGCGGGGUAACGGCCCACCAUGCCCACGAUGUCUAGGGGUUCUGAGAGGAAGGUCCCCCACACUGGAACUGAGACACGGUCCAG
rnacentral:rRNA from 1 species